AAAGUCGUAACAAGGUUUCCGUAGGUGAACCUGCGGAAGGAUCAUUAACACUUUUUAUUAUUUUGUUUUUUUUCUAAAACAAAAUUUAAAACCCCACAAUUUUGGAUGAAUUUAAUUAAUUUAUUUUUUAUUUUAUUUUUUUUUAUUAUAACCCUAUUAUUUGACUAACAUUUUUAUUUAAUUAUUAAAAAAUUAAAAAAACAACUCUUAACAACGGAUAUCUUGGCUCUC
rnacentral:misc_RNA from 1 species